GACGAACGCUGGCGGCGUGCCUAAUACAUGCAAGUAGAACGCUGAAGAGAGGAGCUUGCUCUUCUUGGAUGAGUUGCGAACGGGUGAGUAACGCGUAGGUAACCUGCCUGGUAGCGGGGGAUAACUAUUGGAAACGAUAGCUAAUACCGCAUGAAAUUGCUUAUCGCAUGAUAAUUGAUUGAAAUAUGCAAUUGCAUCACUACCAGAUGGACCUGCGUUGUAUUAGCUAGUUGGUGAGGUAACGGCUCACCAAGGCGACGAUACAUAGCCGACCUGAGAGGGUGAUCGGCCACACUGGGACUGAGACACGGCCCAGACUCCUACGGGAGGCAGCAGUAGGGAAUCUUCGGCAAUGGGGGGAACCCUGACCGAGCAACGCCGCGUGAGUGAAGAAGGUUUUCGGAUCGUAAAGCUCUGUUGUAAGAGAAGAACGGGUGUGAGAGUGGAAAGUUCACACUGUGACGGUAUCUUACCAGAAAGGGACGGCUAACUACGUG
rnacentral:rRNA from 1 species